rnacentral:rRNA from 1 species
CGUAGGUGGCAAGCGUUGUCCGGAAUUAUUGGGCGUAAAGCGCGCGCAGGCGGUUCCUUAAGUCUGAUGUGAAAGCCCCCGGCUCAACCGGGGAAGGUCAUUGGAAACUGGGGAACUUGAGUGCAGAAGAGAAGAGCGGAAUUCCACGUGUAGCGGUGAAAUGCGUAGAGAUGUGGAGGAACACCAGUGGCGAAGGCGGCUCUUUGGUCUGUAACUGACGCUGAGGCGCGAAAGCGUGGGGAGCAAACAGGAUUAGAUACCCUGGUAGUCCACGCCGUAAACGAUGAGUGCUAAGUGUUAGAGGGGUUUCCGCCCUUUAGUGCUGCAGCUAACGCAUUAAGUAUCCCACCUGGGGGAGUACGGCCGCAAGGCUG